UAUGUCUGACAUUGUAUACUGGACAGUCUGUGCACGCAUGCAUGCAGGUCGGAGUACUUAAAGAUACACGUUUAAAUUCCAUGGUUGCAGACACAGCAUAAGAUUGAGAUGGAUAAGAGAGACGGCGAGUUUGGGGCACCACCAGUGAUGGCUGUGCCUCCAGUCCACCAGAUGUCUCGCUUCGAUCAGCCUAUUCCAUGGCAUGCUGGAUAUGCCUCUCAUCAUCUCAGCCAGCUUACGGGCAACCAUAUGGCUAUUCUCCGGCUGCACACCCUCCACCUGGUUACCCGCAUGCUUACCCAUAUGGUUCUUACCCUGCACCUGGUCCUCCUCCUGCUGGAUAUCCCAAAUAAAAUGCAUCGAUCGAAAAGCCACUCGUUCAAGUUCUGGUCAUGCCGAUGCACAAUAUUGUUGGUCGGAAAGUGUCGGGUGCUGCUGCGGCUGCGAAUGGUUCUAGCUCUCUACCUCUUCAUCCUGCGAGGGACGCAACUUGGCUUGUCAAGAAACUGAUGAAGUAUAAUUACCUUCAUGCAGCCCCAGAAUGGGAUCGAUCGAUAUCUUCUUUUCUAAAUAAAAAGGACGCGGGGACUCUGAAAAGAAGCAAGCCACAAAAAAAAAAAAAAAGGAGAGGCAUGCUGUGUCUGUAGUUCGCCUACAGCUAAAUCUCUCUUGGUGUUUAAUUUCUCGGCCAUCAAUUGCCUGCCUUCACGAAGAAGAAAGAGAAAGAAAAGUCCAAAGCGUCGUCUCCAACUCCCACUUUGUUGUGGAGUCUCCACUCACUCCAAAAAGGACGGGGGACCAGCUCGCAGACAUGGGCACUGUUAAUGGAGAGACGUCCGGGGGGCGACAAGGACCCCUAGCUCUUCCCCCCCUCUCUCCGGUCCGGAUCGAAAUGCCAGACUCCUCUCCCUGGAACCGCUAGCGAACGAAAGAAACGAAGGCACCAGUAUGCAAACCGAGUAGAAUCCUUUGCUUUGAUGCUGAAGCAUCAAAAAAAUCUCUCCCAUACUCGAUAGGAUGGAGGAGGAGGCCACAGCGUGGUGUCGUUUUCCGGACUUGCAACCUGCACAAACAUGUCUGACACAGCAGAGCAGCUACCACGACAAAAGAUCAUCAUCGUUAGACAUCUGUCUGUUGAUCCGGUUUGAGGUGUGCGUGCAGGGAAGAUCUCUCCUGGUUCCAGGAAGAGAUAAGACGGCCAUGUGAACUCCAGCAAGCAGGUCAGGGCUAAUGAAUCCAGCGGCGAAGUGGUCCUCACAUUCUGCCUCAGAAGAUGAAGAACCCAAUUUGAUCGUUCAUGUGGUUCUCUCUCUCUCUCGAGAGAGAGAACCAUAGUACAUGGAUACAGCUUGCCAUGGUCACAUGGCAAGUGGCCCGUGCUUUCGGUUGCUAUGACACGAAAGAACAACUCGAUGAGAAGAGUUAAUGACCCGCU